CCUACGGGGGGCAGCAGUGAGGAAUAUUGGUCAAUGGGCGCGAGCCUGAACCAGCCAAGUCGCGUGAGGGAAGACGGUCCUAUGGAUUGUAAACCUCUUUUGUCGGGGAGCAAAAGACGCCACGUGUAGCGUUAUCGAGAGUACCUGAAGAAAAAGCAUCGGCUAACUCCGUGCCAGCAGCCGCGGUAAUACGGAGGAUGCGAGCGUUAUCCGGAUUUAUUGGGUUUAAAGGGUGCGUAGGCGGAAUGCCAAGUCAGCGGUAAAAUCGCGGGGCUCAACCUCGCUCCGCCGUUGAAACUGGCGUUCUUGAGUGGGCGAGAAGUAUGCGGAAUGCGUGGUGUAGCGGUGAAAUGCAUAGAUAUCGCGCAGAACUCCGAUUGCGAAGGCAGCAUACCGGCGCCCAACUGACGCUGAAGCACGAAAGCGUGGGUAUCGAACAGGAUUAGAUACCCGAGUAGUC
rnacentral:rRNA from 1 species